UACGGAGGGUGCGAGCGUUGUCCGGAAUCAUUGGGCGUAAAGGGCGCGUAGGUGGCCCGGUCAGUUCGUGGUGAAAGCGCGGGGCUCAACCCUGCGUCGGCCAUGAAUACUGCCGCGGCUGGAGCACUGUAGAGGCAGGCGGAAUUCCGGGUGUAGCGGUGGAAUGCGUAGAGAUCAGGAGGAACACCCGUAGCGAAGGCGGCACUCUGGGCCGAUACUGACACUGAGGAGCGAAAGCGUGGGGAGCGAACAGG
rnacentral:rRNA from 1 species